rnacentral:rRNA from 1 species
CUGCGAUGGGGGGACGGAGAAGGCUAGGCCAGCGCGGCGUUGGUUGUCCGCGUUCAAGCGAGUAGGGAGAUCUCUUAGGUAAAUCCGGGGGGUCAAUUCCGAGACGCGAUAACGAGCUGUCAAGGCUUCGGUCUGACGGUGAAGUGGUUGAUGCCAUGCUUCCAGGAAAAGCCUCUAAGCUUCAGGUAACAAGGGACCGUACCCCAAACCGACACAGGUGGUCAGGUAGAGAAUACCAAGGCGCUUGAGAGAACUCGGGUGAAGGAACUAGGCAAAAUGGUACCGUAACUUCGGGAGAAGGUACGCCGCUUGGGGUGAUCGGACUUGCUCCGUGAGCUCCGGGCGGUCGAAGUGACCAGGUGGCUGCGACUGUUUAUUAAAAACACAGCACUCUGCAAACACGAAAGUGGACGUAUAGGGUGUGACGCCUGCCCGGUGCCGGAAGGUUAAUUGAUGGGGUCAGCCGCAAGGCGAAGCUCUUGAUCGAAGCCCCGGUAAACGGUGGCCGUAACGAUAACGGUCCUAAGGUAGCGAAAUUCCUUGUCGGGUAAGUUCCGACCUGCACGAAUGGCGUAACGAUGGCCACACUGUCUCCACCCGAGACUCAGUGAAAUUGAACUCGCCGUGAAGAUGCAGUGUACCCGCGGCUAGACGGAGAGACCCCGUGAACCUUUACUACAGCUUUGCACUGGACUCUGAAUCUGUUUGUGUAGGAUAGGUGGGAGGCUAUGAAGCCGGAACGCUAGUUCUGGUGGAGCCAACCUUGAAAUACCACCCUGACAUAUUUGGGGUUCUAACCCAGGCCCGUUAUCCGGGUCGGGGACAGUGUAUGGUGGGUAGUUUGACUGGGGCGGUCUCCUCCCAAAGAGUAACGGAGGAGCACGAAGGUACCCUCAGCGUGGUCGGAAAUCACGCUUUUGAGUGCAAAGGCAUAAGGGUGCUUGACUGCGAGAGCGACGGCUCGAGCAGGUGCGAAAGCAGGUCUUAGUGAUCCGGUGGUUCUGAAUGGAAGGGCCAUCGCUCAACGGAUAAAAGGUACUCCGGGGAUAACAGGCUGAUACCGCCCAAGAGUUCAUAUCGACGGCGGUGUUUGGCACCUCGAUGUCGGCUCAUCACAUCCUGGGGCUGAAGCCGGUCCCAAGGGUAUGGCUGUUCGCCAUUUAAAGUGGUACGCGAGCUGGGUUUAGAACGUCGUGAGACAGUUCGGUCCCUAUCUGCCGUGGGCGUUGGAGAUUUGAGGAAAGCUGCUCCUAGUACGAGAGGACCGGAGUGGACGAACCUCUGGUGUUCGGGUUGUCACGCCAGUGGCAUUGCCCGGUAGCUACGUUCGGACGGGAUAACCGCUGAAAGCAUCUAAGCGGGAAGCCUCUUCCAAGAUGAGAUCUCCCCGGGGACUCGAUCCCCCUGAAGGGUUGUUCAAGACCAGGACGUUGAUAGGUGGGGUGUGUAAGCGCUGUGAGGCGUUGAGCUAACCCAUACUAAUUGCCCGUGCGGCUUGACCU